rnacentral:rRNA from 1 species
AGUGAACGCUGGCGGUAGGCCUAACACAUGCAAGUCGAACGGCACCUCAGUAAUAGCUUGCUCUUACGGGAGGCGAGUGGCGGACCGUUGAGGAAUACACCGGAAUCUACUUUUUCGUUGGGGAUAACGUAGGGAAACUUACGCUAAUACCACAUACGACCUACGGGUGAAAGCAGGGGAUCUUCGGACCUUGCGCGAUUGAAUGUGCCGAUGUCGGAUUAGCUAGUUGGCGGGGUAAAGGCCCACCAAGGCGCCGAUCCGUAGCUCGUCUGAGAGGAUGGACAGGCAGACGGGAAGUGAGACACGGUCGAGACUCCUGCGGGAGGAAACGGUGGGGAAUAUUGGACGAGGGGCGCGAGGCUGAUCCAGCCAUACCGCGGGGGUGAAGAAGGCCUUCGGGUUGUAGAGCCAUUUUGUUGGGAAGGAAAAGCAGCAGGUCAAUACCCCGCUGUUCUGACGGUACCCAAAGAAUAAGCACCGGCUAACUUCGUG